GGCGAGUGAACCGGGAAGAGCUCAAAUUUGAAAUCUGGCGUGCUCAGUGCGUCCGAGUUGUAAUCUAUAGAGGCGUUUUCCGUGCCGGACUGUGUCUAAGUCCCUUGGAACAGGGUAUCAAAGAGGGUGAUAAUCCCGUACUUGACACAAUGACCGGUGCUCUGUGAUACGUCUUCUACGAGUCGAGUUGUUUGGGAAUGCAGCUCAAAAUGGGUGGUGAGUUCCAUCUAAAGCUAAAUAUUGGCGAGAGACCGAUAGCGAACAAGUACCGUGAGGGAAAGAUGAAAAGCACUUUGGAAAGAGAGUUAAACAGUACGUGAAAUUGUUGAAAGGGAAACGAUUGAAGUCAGUCGUGACUGAGAGGCUCAGCCGGUUCUGCCGGUGUAUUCCCCUCAGUCGGGUCAACAUCAGUUUUGUUCGGUGGAUAAGGGCAGCUGGAAGGUGGCACCUCCGGGUGUGUUAUAGCCAGCUGUCGCAUACAUCGAAUGAGACUGAGGAAUGCAGCUCGCC
rnacentral:rRNA from 1 species